rnacentral:tRNA from 1 species
GCAGGUGUAGCUUCAACAGGUUAGAGCGCUGCCUUGGUAAGGCAGAGGUUGUGGGUUCGAGUCCCAUCACCUGCU